rnacentral:rRNA from 1 species
CGGGAAUCCUGCUUCAGAGGUGGGAGUGCUCGAAAGAGAACCGGCGCACAGGUGCUGCAUGGCUGUCGUCAGCACGUGUCGUGAGAUGUUGGGUUAAGUCCCGCAACGAGCGCAACCCUUGUCCUUAGUUGCUACGCAAGAGCACUCUAAGGAGACUGCCGGUGACAAACCGGAGGAAGGUGGGGAUGACGUCAAGUCCUCAUGGCCCUUAUGGGUAGGGCUUCACACGUCAUACAAUGGUCGGAACAGAGGGUUGCCAACCCGCGAGGGGGAGCUAAUCCCAGAAAACCGAUCGUAGUCCGGAUUGCACUCUGCAACUCGAGUGCAUGAAGCUGGAAUCGCUAGUAAUCGCGGAUCAGCAUGCCGCGGUGAAUACGUUCCCGGGUCUUGUACACACCG